CGCCGUCUCACCGGCCGCCGCUGUCCCAGACUGUCCCGACCCUACCCCCGCCGCCCUAAAGCUUUAUCCGUGACCAUGACCGUUUCGAAGGUGGUGCCAGGGCACCACGGGGACCGAGGAUAGGCCGGGUCGCCCCGACUUUUGUGUGUGCCCCAUUCUUUUUUAGUAGAGGAGUUAAGAUUUUCCACCACUAUUCCUUUUUGUUCAAUGUGGUUGGAAGUUGUGAGUAGCCCAUUUUGAAACUGUAUAAAUGAACGAUGUAAUUUAUGCCAAGCGUAUAAAAUUGCAUUCGUUGUUUUGAAA